rnacentral:rRNA from 1 species
AGAGUUUGAUCAUGGCUCAGGACGAACGCUGGCGGCGUGCCUAAUACAUGCAAGUCGAGCGGAGCGGACUUGCGGAAGUCUUCGGAUGGAAGCAGGUUUGCUCAGCGGCGGACGGGUGAGUAACACGUAGGCAACCUGCCCGUAAGACGGGGAUAACUAGCGGAAACGUUAGCUAAUACCGGAUAGGUCCCUCGGGCGCAUGCUUGAGGGAGGAAAGGCGGAGCGAUCUGCCGCUUACGGAUGGGCCUGCGGCGCAUUAGCUGGUUGGUGAGGUAACGGCUCACCAAGGCGACGAUGCGUAGCCGACCUGAGAGGGUGAUCGGCCACACUGGGACUGAGACACGGUCCAGACUCCUGCGGGAGGCAGCAGUAGGGAAUCUUCGGCAAUGGACGGAAGUCUGACCGAGCAACGCCGCGUGAGUGAGGAAGGCCUUCGGGUCGUAAAGCUCUGUUGCCAGGGAAGAAGAGCGGGGAGAGUCACUGCUCCCCGAUUGACGGUACCUGAGAAGAAAGCCCCGGCUAACUACGUGCCAGCAGCCGCGGUAAUACGUAGGGGGCGAGCGUUGUCCGGAAUUAUUGGGCGUAAAGCGCGCGCAGGCGGUUCCUUAAGUCUGGUGUAUAAGCCCAGGGCUCAACCUUGGGACGCACGGGAAACUGGGGGACUGGAGUGCAGGAGAGGGAAGCGGAAUUCCACGUGUAGCGGUGAAAUGCGUAGAGAUGUGGAGGAACACCAGUGGCGAAGGCGGCUUUCUGGCCUGUAACUGACGCUGAGGCGCGAAAGCGUGGGGAGCAAACAGGAUUAGAUACCCUGGUAGUCCACGCCGUAAACGAUGAAUGCUAGGUGUCAGGGUUAAGAACCCUUGGUGCCGAAGUUAACACAUUAAGCAUUCCGCCUGGGGAGUACGGUCGCAAGACUGAAACUCAAAUGAAUUGACGG